AUGAAUGUGUCUUUUGUCCAGCUCGGCCGCCUCGGAUCUCACUGCCACCGGCCUUCACGCACACCCUCGCCACCAGCCUUUGCCCCGUCAGCCUCAGCCCCAGCUCAUUCUCUCAGGCAGUCCCAGCAUUGGCAUGGUACCUCCUCCCGCCGUGGGCCUCACGUCUCUGCUCCCUGUCAACCCUACUGCCAUCAGCAUCACCACAAGCGACUUGUCUGCCCAGGAGGAUGCAACACCAUCUACCUCUACCGGCCACCUUUCAGUGUUUUCUGCUUUCCAAGUAAAGACACCAGCAGUGCCCUCAGAGCGGACCAGCCAGAGAUUUUCCGAAGCCUCCCAUAUAGGCUCCUCCGUGGAGGAGGCCUGAGAUGCUGUCAUGACUUUGGAGCCAGGGUGGCCGACCACCUUGGCCUGGCCAUCUUUGGGGUGGGCUUUGGGAGCCCAGCACUGCUGCCGAGUGUGGUGGAUGAGAACGGCUGCUGCUUGCUGUACGUGGUGGAGCUGUGUGGCGUGGAGCGAGCCUUCAGAGCUGAGCAUUUGACCAACACCAGAGUGGUUCGGGAACAGGAUGCGGACAUUGUCCUCAACGACCAGCGGUACGGUUUCAGUUGUCAGCAGAGGUUCACUGAACACCUGCUGUGUGCCGGGCACCGUCCUGGGGGCUGGAGAAAUGGCUCUGAAUGCUGCAAAGCCCCCAUCCUUGUGCUGCUGAAUUGGGUGCAGAGGCAGCUGAGUAGAUCUCAAUACAUCAGUAGCAAUAAACUCUGUGGAGAGAACUCACGCCGUCGGGAGAGGGAGGCUGGUGGGAGCGCUGUUUUAGGGAAGGGGGUGCUUUGCGAGAGGCUGCCGAGUUUGAAUUGUCAGGCUGCCCAGUCCUGCUUCGACGAAGCCGACGGACGUGGAAAGCCUUUGGUCUGUGGAUUUUACAACUCGGUGAUGUGGGCGCCUUGGAGAACUCCUGAGCAGUUCCAUCGUCUGCAAACUGCAGAUUAUAUGGGUGACAUUACUGGCCACUGAACGGAGUCUGGGUGGCCCCUGGUUGCUGGCACCUUAUUGGGUUGGCAUCUGUUGGUGAGUAAGGCCGCGUGGCCUUUGCCGCAUGGAGCUUACCGUCUGGAGAGGAGGACAGAUGAGAAACAAGUAAAUAGAUAGGUCAUUGUGGCA
rnacentral:lncRNA from 1 species